AUGGUGCAGUGUGAAAGAUAGGGUUGCUUUGAAAAUAAUUGAAGGGGCUCUGGAAUCCAGCCGGCUAGCUUACGGUGGAGUCGUUACUGAGGGAAAUGCCAGCACUGCUAUCAGCAUUGCUACUGUGGCUCUUGCUUAAGGAUGCUGAUGCCAUGUGGUUAUCCCGGACGAUGUUGCUAUUGAGAAGAGGUCUUGUACUUUCCAAUCUA
rnacentral:misc_RNA from 1 species